ensembl:snoRNA SNORD116 Small nucleolar RNA SNORD116
GGAUCGAUGAUGACACCCACAAACGCAUUCCUUGGAAAAUCUGAACAAAAUGAGUGAGAACUCACUACCGUCUCCUCAUCGCAAACUGAGGUCC